UCCCACCCGUGUUUAUUUUACCUUGUUGCUUCGGCGGGCCCGCCUUAACUGGCCGCCGGGGGGCUUACGCCCCCGGGCCCGCGCCCGCCGAAGACACCCUCGAACUCUGUCUGAAGAUUGUAGUCUGAGUGAAAAUAUAAAUUAUUUAAAACUUUCAACAACGGAUCUCUUGGUUCCGGCAUCGAUGAAGAACGCAGCGAAAUGCGAUACGUAAUGUGAAUUGCAAAUUCAGUGAAUCAUCGAGUCUUUGAACGCACAUUGCGCCCCCUGGUAUUCCGGGGGGCAUGCCUGUCCGAGCGUCAUUUCUGCCCUCAAGCACGGCUUGUGUGUUGGGCCCCGUCCUCCGAUCCCGGGGGACGGGCCCGAAAGGCAGCGGCGGCACCGCGUCCGGUCCUCGAGCGUAUGGGGCUUUGUCACCCGCUCUGUAGGCCCGGCCGGCGCUUGCCGAUCAACCCAAAUUUUUAUCCAGGUUGACCUCGGAUCAGGUAGGGAUACCCGCUGAACUUAAGCAUAUCA
rnacentral:rRNA from 1 species